UACGUAGGGGGCAAGCGUUGUCCGGAAUCAUUGGGCGUAAAGAGCGUGUAGGCGGCCCGAUAAGUCCGCUGUGAAAGUCCAGGGCUCAACCCUGGGAUGCCGGUGGAUACUGUCGGGCUCGAGUCCGGAAGAGGAGUGUGGAAUUCCUGGUGUAGCGGUGGAAUGCGCAGAUAUCAGGAGGAACACCGGUGGCGAAGGCGGCCCCCUGGGUCAAGAUUGACGCUCAUGCACGAAAGCGUGGGGGAGCAAACAGG
rnacentral:rRNA from 1 species